UCACCUAAUUGAGCUGAACAUCUUUCCCGG
rnacentral:piRNA from 1 species